GACGAACGCUGGCGGCGUGCUUAACACAUGCAAGUCGAGCGGUAAGGCCUCUUCGGGGGUACACGAGCGGCGCACGGGUGAGUAACACGUGGGUGACCUGCCCUCAGCUCUGGGAUAAGCCCGGGAAACUGGGUCUAAUACCGGCUAUGACCUUUCCUCGCAUGGGGUUUGGUGGAAAGUUUUUUCGGCUGGGGAUGGGCCCGCGGCCUACCAGCUGGUUGGUUGGGUGAUUGCCUACCAAGGCGAGGACGGGUAGCCGGCCUGGGAGGGCGACCGGCCACGGUGGGACAGAGACACGGGCCAGACUCCUACGGCAGGCGGCAGUGGGGAAGAUUGCGCAAUGGGCGGAAGCCUGACGCAGCGACGCCGCGUGGGGGAGGACGGCCUUCGGGUUGUAAACCUCUUUCGACCCCGACGAAUUUGGACGGUAGGGGUAGAAGAAGCACCGGCCAACUACGUG
rnacentral:rRNA from 1 species